ensembl:antisense Gm29585 predicted gene 29585
UUUCUUCUUCUUUUCUCUCCAGGGAAUGGCAAGUGUGACUGGUGUCUGCCUCUCUCUACCUGUCACCUCUAAGUGAGAAGAGUAGGGAGGGUACCCCAAAGGGGUUGGUAACCCGCUCAGCUUAGCAAGGUCAGAGGGAGGCAUCUUUUCAGCCCAGGAGACAGGGUAUAGUAAUGAGGGCCUGGGUCGGCUGAGCAAACGAGCGAGCGAAGGCUGCUCACAGUCCGGAAAAGGGUGGGGCCGCCCUGGGUACGAGUAAAAAGGAGCAGCGGGAACUACAGCUGCCGCACUACCCUCUUCCCAGAACCUCCUCCUCCCUUAGCCCAGCAGCCCGGCUGGCUUGAGGCUGGAAGCGUCUCUGCGGUGAUCCGCUCCUCGUCAUCCAGCAGCUGCCUCGCUGCCCUCAGGCUCCGUUCUUUCCCAUCGCGGACCCGGCGCCAGCCCAAGUACAGGGCGAGGCCGAAAAGCACGAAACCUACGCUAAGACCCGCUGCCCCUGCCAGGUACACCGGCA